GCGGCGUGCCUAAUACAUGCAAGUCGAGCGAACGGACGAGAAGCUUGCUUCUCUGAUGUUAGCGGCGGACGGGUGAGUAACACGUGGAUAACCUACCUAUAAGACUGGGAUAACUUCGGGAAACCGGAGCUAAUACCGGAUAAUAUUUUGAACCGCAUGGUUCAAAAGUGAAAGACGGUCUUGCUGUCACUUAUAGAUGGAUCCGCGCUGCAUUAGCUAGUUGGUAAGGUAACGGCUUACCAAGGCAACGAUGCAUAGCCGACCUGAGAGGGUGAUCGGCCACACUGGAACUGAGACACGGUCCAGACUCCUACGGGAGGCAGCAGUAGGGAAUCUUCCGCAAUGGGCGAAAGCCUGACGGAGCAACGCCGCGUGAGUGAUGAAGGUCUUCGGAUCGUAAAACUCUGUUAUUAGGGAAGAACAUAUGUGUAAGUAACUGUGCACAUCUUGACGGUACCUAAUCAGAAAGCCACGGCUAACUACGUG
rnacentral:rRNA from 1 species